ensembl:lncRNA CASC15 cancer susceptibility 15
ACUAUUCAAAAAAGGAUGCAAUGGAGAACAUUUACAGAGGACUGUGGGUAAAGCAAAGUCUUCAAGGGAAGAUAACAAAGGAUGAAACAAUGGUGUUGUGUGACUUCCUAGUGUGAAUCAUGGCAAUACAGUGAAAGACAGUGAUUUACUGCUUUUGAGGGCGUGCAUGUAUAUGAUUAACGGAUGGAAGUGCAGGACUCCAAGAUUUACUUCCUUCCCUUUCCAGCAGAAUUACCUGAGACGAAGAACUUUUGUUCACAUCUUAUACAAAACAGUAAAAUCUACUGGUGGAGUCACUCCAUUAUUCUUAUCUGUGGAGAUCUAGAUCUUGAUUUGAAAGUUUCUGAGAAAAUCUUCAGCUCAGACUUGAGGGUCAACUUUACCAGCUGAAGGAUCUGCAUUUACUGCUCAACCACAUCUAAUUUGAUGUCCUCUGCAGAUUUAAAAUGUGUGCCUUCUUUUCCGUCACCAAGUCAUCCCUGGGUUACUACUGAACAUCCUUCUCAAUUCCCCCCGACCCAUGGAUGGCUGUUCUCCAUUGUCUGUUUCACCAGAUGUCCUCAAAACAAACAGACAGAAGAAGGAAGUGGCUAAUGGAGCUGUGGAGUCCAAGUGUGACUGCCAAGAGGAAUCCAGCAAAGCCAAAAAGCCCAAGCAUGUAGCCCUGCCCGAAGCACGCCACACGCAUGGAAAACCCAGAGGAAAUGAGUGAGGAUCAAUGGGAAGAAGAGAGCCAGCCAGGUUCGAUGCCUUCUCCAUCCGUCAGUGAGGGUGUGGAGAGCCUGCAGGCGUGUGCCUCCCUCUGUAACUUGCUAUUCCUUGUGUAAUGUCAAGUGGAAGUGUGAAGCACCACAAACUGCUCUGAGCAGAGCCCACUUCCCUUCACCCACGGAGAGCGUGAAGCAGUUACACCAACAUCAAUCAAGGAAAACCCACAGGCUGAGCUCACACGGUUGAAGCAGGAAGUUGAAGAUUUGUCCAGGAGCAGAUAGCUGAAGAGAGAGAGAGAGAAGAGAGAACGGCUUACAGCUCAGGUCCUCUCUCCAUGCUUAGGAACCACUACAAAUGCUACUGCCUUGAGUCUCAUUUUGUUUCCCUCUGGAAACCACAUGUGUACCUUGUUUGCAACAGUAUGGUUCUGGAGACCAGAAGGCCAAAAUCAAAAGUAUGGGCAGGCUUGAUUUCUUUAGAAGACUCCAGCGGAGAACUGUGUCUCCUUGCUUCUGAUUCUACAUCUCCAUCCAUGGGCCACUGUUUCAGCAACCUCAGCCAGUGCAACACAACCUCAGCCAAGAAGAGUAUGCAGAGAAAGGAGUCCCCUACCUGCCACAAAACUGUUGUCUGAAAACUGUCUCAUAUUGUCUCAAGUUGUCAUUCAUUGUGAAUUAGACCUGUUUAACAUGUAAUCUGCAA